CAAACUGUGGGUUUACAAACGUCAGGAACGGCAGCUCAGCCGUCCCCGUGUCUGCGCUGCUGCAGUCCCUGUGCGGGACUCUGCGCGAGGAGGUGGAGCGUCUGGGUCGCUGCUCUUCCCACAACGUGAGCCUUUUCCUGUUACCAUAAAGGCAGUUUGUUGCAGAUUUUGAACCUGCUGCCUCCUCCCUUCCUUUACAACACGCAUAUUCAUCUUUCCUCCUGGCAUUACUGCUGAAAGGAUGCAAACGUCCUUGUCUGAGCAUCAUUCGCAAGCCUCCUGCCCAUCUGUGAAUUAUUCCCCGACUCUUCCAUCAGGGCAGGGUUACAGGUCCUCUGCCUGCAGGAGGGAGCUCUCCAACAAAAUCUAAAGACCCAAAAUCUUUCAGACGCUGUGACGAGCAGACUAGGAAGCCACAAAACACUGUGAGCUGAACGGAUGUCUUAAUAAGCUUUUAGAUGUGCCUUGGCCAGUGUUGGCAGAGGAAGCUCAAGGGGAAGGCAGCAAGCAUUGUGAGGUGAAUCACUGCAGACCCACUGGGCGUGACAGCCCUAGGAAGCUAAUGAUCUCAACGGGAAAGAAGUGACUGCAGUUAUCCAGCCACAGAACACGCAGUAGAACGGGAGGACAGACCCCCGGAUGUCCUGAAGAUGGCAUAGUAAUAGAGCCACCUUCCAAUGAUCGGGAGCAUCUGUCCCCGCGGGUGCCGGCCCGGGCCAGUGACGUCGUGUGGAGCUGAAGGGACGUGUCUACCUCUAUCUGGAAACCUCUUUCUCUGCUAAUUCAUGAGCCAGCAGGAUGCUGUCGCCGCGCUUUCAGAACGCCUUCUCAUAGCCGCAUACAAAGGCCACGCGGAGAAUGUGGUUCAGCUCAUCAACAAGGGCGCCAAGGUAGCAGUUACCAAGCAUGGCCGGACCCCCCUGCAUCUCGCUGCCAAUAAAGGUCAUCUUGCUGUGGUCCAGAUCUUGCUGAAGGCUGGCUGCGACCUCGAUGUUCAGGACGAUGGGGAUCAGACCGCCUUGCACCGUGCGGCCGUGGUGGGGAACACUGAGGUCAUCUCGGCGCUCACCCAGGAGGGCUGUGCCCUGGACCGACAAGACAAGGACGGGAACACGGCCCUGCAUGAAGCAUCCUGGCACGGGUUCAGCCAGUCAGUCAAGCUGCUGGUUAAAGCAGGAGCCAACGUGCUCGCCAAGAACAAGGCGGGGAACACGGCCCUGCACCUGGCCUGCCAGAACAGCCACUCCCAGAGCACGCGCGUCCUCCUGCUGGGCGGGUCCCGCGCCGACCUCAAAAAUAACGCAGGCGACACCUGUUUGCACGUUGCCGCGCGCUAUAAUCACUUGUCCAUCAUUAAGGUCCUCCUCAGUGCUUUCUGUUCUGUCCAUGAAAAGAACCAGGCCGGAGACACAGCGCUUCAUGUUGCUGCUUCCCUAAAUCAUAAGAAGGUGGUUAAAAUCUUACUGGAAGCGGGAGCAGAUGUAACCAUUGUUAAUAAUGCAGGCCAGACCCCGCUGGAGACCGCCCGCUACCACAACAAUCCGGAAGUUGCUCUUCUCCUCACUAAAGCUCCCCAGGUCUUGCGCUUCAGUCGUGGGCGAAGUCUGAGGAAAAAGAGAGAGAGGCUCAAGGAAGAGAGGAGAGCUCAGUCUGUGCCAAGAGAUGAGGUGGCACAAAGCAAGGGAAGUGUCUCGGCAGGAGACACCCCGAGCAGUGACCAGGCUGCACCCAGAAAAGAAGAGGCCAGAGAAGAUUGCCUGUCGGCCUCCCCAGAGCCCCGAGCAAAGGACAACAGGAGGAGAAAGUCAAGGCCCAAGGUGUCAGCAUUUUCCGACCCCACCCCACCUGCAGACCAGCAGCCUGGACACCAGAAGAAUUUACAUGUUCAUAAUCACCCGAAAAAGAAGCCCAGGCAUCGAUGUUCACCCCCACCCCCUCCCCAUGAGUUCAGAGCGUACCAGCUCUACACGCUGUACCGGGGCAAGGACGGGAAAGUGAUGCAGGCACCAAUAAAUGGCUGUCGAUGUGAACCCCUAAUCAACAAGCUGGAGAAUCAGUUGGAGGCGACUGUGGAGGAGAUCAGAGCGGAGCUGGGAUCGGUUCAGGAUAAGAUGAAUGCGAAGCUGGGGCACAUGGAGAGUAAGACCCAGCACCAGAUGCGUGUUCUGGACAAGCUGAUGGUCGAGCGACUCUCAGCCGAGAGGACAGAGUGCCUGAGCCGCCUGCAGCAGCACUCGGACACAGAGAAGCUUGAGGGCGAGAAACGCCAGAUGUCCUUGGUGGAUGAAUUAAAAACCUGGUGCAUGUUGAAGAUUCAGAGUCUGGAACUGAAGCUUUCGGGAGACUCUAGGGCUAAAUCCACGCCAUCUACUUGUGAGUCCUCCACAGCUGUGGAUCCAUCAGUGGUGACAGCAGGUCCAGUCGCAGCUUCUGACACUUCCCCUCGGGUGGUCAGGCCCAAGGAAAAGGGACUCGGCUCCACGGCCGCCCACAGGCUCCAGCAGGAGCUGUCCUCCUCCGACUGCACAGGCUCCCGACUGAGGAGCAUCAAGGUCCAGACAGCCUUGCUGCCCUUAAAAGAGGCAGCCAGAUGCGAUCAGCAGGCCGGGCCCUGCGUCCACAGAGGCACCCAAACCAAGAAGUCCGGGAAAAGUGGGCAGACGAGGCAUCGAGCCCAGCCACCAGCACCCAGCACCACCUGCGGGCAGCCACCACCAGCUACAGGCAGCGAGCAGACUGCCUCUCACAUUCGAGACACCUCCCAAGCUCUGGAGAUCACCCAGUAUUUUUUUGAGGCUGUUGCUACCCAGAUGGAGAAGUGGUAUGAAAGAAAGAUUGAAGAAGCACGAAGCCAAGCCAGUCAGAAAGCCCAGCAAGACAAGGCCACCCUGAAGGAACAUAUCAAAAGUUUAGAAGAGGAACUUGCUAAACUAAGGACGAAGGUGCAGAAGGAAAAUUAGGGCCUGGGAAGUGGCUCAAGAAAGGAUCCUUGGGGAUUUCUGGUAUAGCAACUGCAGAAUAGCUGUGCCCCAAGUGUCAGUUAGAGUGCACAUAGCAGACUUGCCUUUAAAAAACAUCACUAGUUUCUAAAAUGUGCCAGACACACACGUUUCCUAUGCCCUGACGUUAUGAAGACGACAACAAUUAAACUGAAACCAGGGAAAGCUUGUUUAGUUUCAGGUUUCAUUACAAACUUAAAACCUCAGCCCAGGUUCAUCUGAAGUUCAAAAGCUCAGAUUAAGCGAACCACCUAGAUACUCAAUGAUGUGUAAACCUAAACCCUAAAAUUCAGGAUGUACAAAAUAAUAAAAAUCAAAAGCAAGAAAAAAAAAGUUAAUCCCUUGUGAACUUAAAUCGAGUCAUCAUUCAUGUAAACACACCUGCUGUGCCUAGAGGAGAGUGUCUUUCCGUAAGAGCGGUAACGGCGAUGCGGUAACGCCUCCCUCAGAUGCAGAAUUCUCAGAGUGCUGACACUCUAACCAGGUGAAAAUUUAUCACACGGAGUCUGAGGAGAAAGAGAUUUUCAUCAUGUCACAAAAUCCAGUAUAACUUAAAACAAAAUGUUUUAAAAAGUCAGAGUGUGUUUAAAAAAUGAGUCAUUGGAUAAUAGCACUGGAAUGUUUGUUAAUAAUGAACACAGAUGAGAAAGAUUCAAACCAUUUGAUCACAGUUUCUGUAUUUUCAGCCAAAAUAUAGAAAUACUAUAUUUUCUGUUAAUCCUUGUGAUUUUUAAAGCAGAUUAAUGGGGGGCGGGGGAGGGAGUCACAUAACAAUUACCUGAAACUUCAAUAACCUAUUGAUAAUCAAACCCAUUUACCUUAGAGUACCUUCCUGAAUUUGAGUUUAUGCAUCAGUAUUUUAUAAAGAAAUGAGGCCAUUUCUUGAAAGUACUUCAUUUUUAAUUGAGUUCUGUCAUUAAAACACCCCAAAAGCUUUCGCACUGCUUCGCAGUGACUGUGCUGAGUUAGACCCCAGCACUCCCCAGCCUCCGGGGCCCUGAGGGUUUUGCUCUGCUCUAAAGAAUAUACAAAGUUACAAAAGUAGCUCCGUGUGUUGAAUCUUUCAAUUCAAUCAUCUUCAGACUUCUUGUCCCUUGGAAUGUGGGAUUAUAUUCAUCUCCUCAAAAUUCCAUGUAUGCACAGAAACCUCAGUUCUAUUUCUAUAAACACAGGAACUGAGUAACUAUUGUCUGUAAUUUUGAAUAAAAUGUUGCUUAUUGAGCCAAAGAGAAAAGAAUGACUUCUUGACAUGGAAAUACUCAGAAAAAACAAGGUAUGUUUUUAGCUCCUUUGUGGGGGUUUUGCCUGCCACACUCACCGUUGUUUUUGUUUUUCUUAAUAGUGACAGUGUGGAUAUAAACAUUCCUCAUAAAUGUAGACAAAGGGCAGCUUGACCGAACCUGGGUAGGGAAUUCAUGUGAUGCUCUCAAGCUUCUUUCCACGCUCCUGAGCUUGUCUUGCUCCUCAGCUGCUGUGAGGCAGACGGUCUUCCCGGAGACGCGCUGGAUUGCUGCUUGUGGAGGUGCUCUCUCGUUCCGAGUUCUUGGUGCAGAAGCACAGCGCUGGGUGGUAGCGCUGGGUGGCACCUUCGGACCAUAGCGUGCUUUGGUGGGAAGUAGUUUGAUUACGUACCUCCUGCCCACCAGGAGCAGGCAGCUUCUUACUGUGAGCUGGCUGUUUCCAUCCAAGCCGCAGUUAGGGACGAGAGCAGGGAGGAAUGAAAAAGGUCAAAUGUACCUCAUCUGCAGAGGACACAGAUCUUGUUUCUCAAAGAUGGGAAAACCUGUAAUAGAGGCUGGGAGACGGAACAGGCCAUCAGCCUCCUAACCCAGAGAUAGAUGGCAGCCUCUCAAGACAAACCAGUAGCUCUGAUCACACCUGCGUUUGGUCUGUUUUUGUUCCUUAUUGUCAAAAAACUCAGCUGUGGGUCCGAUGUGGUUUUUCUUAUUUUUACCUUGUGCUAUCUACUAAAAUGAGCAAAUGCCACAACAGUACUUUUCCAAAGAAGCAGAACUAUUAACUAUUUAUAGCUGGUCAUGUAGGUCGUGUUUCAGACUGAGGCUGGAACCUUCAGUGGCUGUGGGGAAAGUGAUGUAAAAUACAUAAAAGUUAUGCAGUAUUGCAGUGUUGCUGUUUUUUGCUGUUGUUAGUGCAUUAUUGCAUUUGAGUAUAGUAAUAUUUGUGAUAGACUGAAUACCAGUUCUAAUCUUACCUUUGACUUUGGGAGCCCAAAAUAAAGGAAGUGAUCUUUUCAUGUUAUACCCUCUUUUUUCAGUCAAGCAUUGAUGCUUGAGAGCAUUUUCCUUCCUUCAUGAAAGAGAGAUAAUUUAGGUAAGUAUGGGUCUCUGCCUCUCAGCUCUCCUGUGUCUGUUGGCAUGACUGCAGUAAUACCUACACCAGGAAAUACAUUCUGCUGUCCUCAACCUUUAAAGUCCUGUGACUCUGCAGGCACAUUCAUAGCAUUGCCAUGCCAAGAGUUUAACAUUUCCAACCUGACACACUUAAAAGGGGGCAGUGACACCGGGACAGUCAAUAUGCUAAAUAAGAAAUAGCCUUAGCCACUUCUCAUAUGCUAGAAAGCUUUUGUAUUAAAAUUUUUUAAUAUAAAGAUUUAUUCAAAUACAUAAACUGAACAUUCAAACUUCUUAAAAUUAAACAUUAGGAACAAGACUUGCACAUUCCAACAAGAGUGUAGUUUACAGGGAACAUACCCAGGAAGGUAACUUGUCUUUAUCAGAACACUGAUAAAGAUGAUGAAUAAAAUGUACUUCACCAGCAGUUCUGUUCUGGCCAACAUCUUUCUUAAUGACCAUCAUUUCAUAUGUGAGGAGAAAUUGCUAAAUAAAUCUUAGGCUAAACAACAGACUUGACCUAUAAUUCAGGGGGAAUAUUCAAAGCAUGUAAGUGAACUAAUAAAAUUAAACUGUUCUGUAGAAAUGAAAGUAAAAGCUUGUCAGUUAUAAUAAUCUUAGCUUCUGGAAGGUAAGAAUUAAGAUUUGUGUUUUACCGAUUUUAAAAAACAAACAAACUACAGGUUUGGUUUUCUUUAAGUCUUUGGUAUUUGCAUCUUGCAAAUUCAAACCACAAACGCUCUUACAUCUUCCAUAUACACCACUGCUGGGAAGAACAGCAAGUCACUGACUUCCUCACAACUUCAACGGAUGGUUUUUAGCUUUGUGAGAUUUUAGGUUUUCUAGGGACAGCCUAUACUUGAGUAUGUAUGUCCAUCAUGCUACUCAAAGAAUAUUUUUAAUGUGUUCUCUGUUCAGAAACUGUUCACAAAUGCUUUUUUCAUCAGAUGGCUUUGCAGUAGGCUGGCCAGUGCACAUCUUUAUAAAAUCUAAAAAUUGUCUCAUGAAAGCAUUUUGAAUUAGCAGAUUACCCUGUGGCAGAGUAUGCAGAAAUAUUUGGUCUUAUGAGCUCUGAGGCUGUGGGACAUGGAGGUGGACCCUGGCUGUGCAGGCCAUUGACAUAUGCCACCAUCAGCUAGGCCUCUCCUCUGGCACAGUCCAAUACUAAACACUGUUUGUCUUUCUGCGUAAUUUUCUCUAUAUCUUUCAGGGGCUGGUCAGAUUCUUGGAUUAAUUUUUUAGACCUGUUCUGUAGAUGAACAGAGGACUUCAGGCUGCAGGACUGCUGGUCCCAGCCUCUUACCACAAACUCACUUUGACUAUAUUACCUGUUAUACAUUUGGUCUCUUUCAAAAGUGUUCUGAAGUCCAUGUCUUUCUCUGAUGUAUUCUUUAAGCUCUUUGUUUUUUUUCCUGUCACUGGAGAACCUACUGCACUGAAGACCUUCCCUAGUGAUUUAUUGUGCUACUUCUACAUGGAUGUUAAGGUAAUUGCAUUAGUUUCAUCCAGAAGUUGCCUCUUCUUUUGGUGUUCAAGGUACUUACUAAGGUUCUCUUUCUCCUUUCUCUUCAACAAAGAUCUGGAUUCCCAGUGGUGAUCUUUUUCAGUAUCAGAUCAUGACACAUCUGCAGAACAAACCUCCACCACCGUGAGGGAUAAUACAGGAGGAUUUUUCAAGGACGUUCCAGGCUAUCUCCUGAGAUCCAAUCCUGCUGGAAGAGUAAACUUCCUACCCCAUAAAUGGCUUUGGACAUGAAAUCUGAGUGGAAGAGAUGUGUCCUUUUGGAACAGAAUUUUUAUGAGCCAUUGUUUCCACCAAAUCGCCAUUUCUCCAUUGCCACGAGGUCCGCAACUCACCCUCCGUGGACAUAGAAACAAGCCUUAACCUGGAACAGAACUGCCCUGUGAAUGGACAUCUUUCACUUGGCGACUGAUCUUCCCGUUCAGAGGAGGGCACUGCCGAGAGCAUCCACAUUAAAAGAUGGUGACGGGUGCAGUGAAAUGAAGCAGGCAACUUGCAAAUACAGACAACAGAAAACCAUUUUGUCAACAAAGCUAUAAUCUUGGACCCAUCUUUGAAAAGAUCUAGGCUCCUUACACAGGAUGGUGGACAUGAGAAGAGCUGGAGGCCCAAGGACCAGAUCCACCAUCACCCCAGGUCAGGGCACAGACCACCUGCUGUGACCCUGGGACUAACCAUUAGAACAGUGUUUUAUCUGCUUUAGAGAGCGCCUGUCAUACCAACAGAGAUCCUAAGAAAUUUGGUAAGGAUAUGAUACCCCAAAACAAACAGGUAUUCCAUAAAGUUCUAAAGACAAUGAUUGAAAAGGAAUUUAUAAUUACAUUUUGUCAAC